rnacentral:rRNA from 1 species
CCUACGGGCGGCUGCAGUGAGGAAUAUUGGUCAAUGGCCGGAAGGCUGAACCAGCCAAGUCGCGUGAGGGAAUAAGGCCCUAUGGGUCGUAAACCUCUUUUGUCAGGGAGCAAAGGCGUCCACGAGUGGACGAUAGGAGAGUACCUGAAGAAAAAGCAUCGGCUAACUCCGUGCCAGCAGCCGCGGUAAUAGGGAGGAUGCGAGCGUUAUCCGGAUUGAUGGGGGUUAGAGGGUGCGAAGGCGGAGUGUAAAGUCAGCGGUAAAAUUUCGGGGUUCAACCCCGUCGUGCCGUUGAAACUGACAGCCUUGAGUGAGUGAGAGGUAAGCGGAAUGCGUGGUGUAGCGGUGAAAUGCAUAGAUAUCACGCAGAACGCCGAUUGCGAAGGCAGCUUACCGGCGCUCAACUGACGCUGAGGCACGAAAGUGCGGGUAUCGAACAGGAUUAGAUACCCUUGUAGUC